UACAGAGGGUGCAAGCGUUGCUCGGAUUUACUGGGCGUAAAGCGUACGCAGACGGUGAGAAAGGUCGGAUGUGAAAGCCCUGGGCUCAACCCUGGAACUGCAUCCGAAACCAUCUCGCUAGAGUAUGAGAGAGGGAAGCAGAAUUCCUGGUGUAGAGGUGAAAUUCGUAGAUAUCAGGAGGAAUACCGGUGGCGAAGGCGGCAUCCUGGACCGACAUUGACGCUGAUGAGCGAAAGCUAGGGGAGCAAACGGG
rnacentral:rRNA from 1 species